rnacentral:rRNA from 1 species
AACGAACGCUGGCGGCAGGCCUAACACAUGCAAGUCGAACGCUCUCUUCGGAGGGAGUGGCAGACGGGUGAGUAACACGUGGGAACCUACCCCUUGGUACGGAAUAACUGAUGGAAACGUUAGCUAAUGCCGUAUGAGCGCUGAGGCGGAAAGAUUUAUCGCCAAGGGAUGGGCCCGCGUAGGAUUAGCUAGUUGGUGGGGUAAAGGCCUACCAAGGCGACGAUCCUUAGCUGGUCUGAGAGGAUGAUCAGCCACACUGGGACUGAGACACGGCCCAGACUCCUACGGGAGGCAGCAGUGGGGAAUAUUGGACAAUGGGCGAAAGCCUGAUCCAGCAAUGCCGCGUGAGUGAUGAAGGCCUUAGGGUUGUAAAGCUCUUUUACCCGGGAUGAUAAUGACAGUACCGGGAGAAUAAGCCCCGGCUAACUCCGUGCCAGCCGCCGCAGUAAUAC